rnacentral:rRNA from 1 species
AGAGUUUGAUCCUGGCUCAGGACGAACGCUGGCGGCGUGCUUAACACAUGCAAGUCGAACGGAAAGGCCCUUCGGGGUACUCGAGUGGCGAACGGGUGAGUAACACGUGGGUGAUCUGCCCUGCACUUUGGGAUAAGCCUGGGAAACUGGGUCUAAUACCGAAUAGGACCACGCGCUUCAUGGUGUGUGGUGGAAAGCUUUUGCGGUGUGGGAUGGGCCCGCGGCCUAUCAGCUUGUUGGUGGGGUAAUGGCCUACCAAGGCGACGACGGGUAGCCGGCCUGAGAGGGUGACCGGCCACACUGGGACUGAGAUACGGCCCAGACUCCUACGGGAGGCAGCAGUGGGGAAUAUUGCACAAUGGGCGCAAGCCUGAUGCAGCGACGCCGCGCGAGGGAUGACGGCCUUCGGGUUGUAAACCUCUUUCAAUAGGGACGAAGCGCAAGUGACGGUACCUAUAGAAGAAGCACCGGCCAACUACGUGCCAGCAGCCGCGGUAAUACGUAGGGUGCGAGCGUUGUCCGGAAUUACUGGGCGUAAAGAGCUCGUAGGUGGUUUGUCGCGUUGUUCGUGAAAACUCACAGCUUAACUGUGGGCGUGCGGGCGAUACGGGCAGACUAGAGUACUGCAGGGGAGACUGGAAUUCCUGGUGUAGCGGUGGAAUGCGCAGAUAUCAGGAGGAACACCGGUGGCGAAGGCGGGUCUCUGGGCAGUAACUGACGCUGAGGAGCGAAAGCGUGGGGAGCGAACAGGAUUAGAUACCCUGGUAGU